rnacentral:lncRNA from 1 species
UCUCGCUUUGUUACCCAGGCUGUAGUGCAGUGGCAUGAUCUCUGUUCACUGCAACCUCUGCCUCCCAGGUUCAAAUGAUUCUUCUGCCUCAGCCUCCUUAGUAGCUGGGAUUAUGGGUGCACGCCACCACACCUGGCUAAUAUUUUAUAUUUUUGAUGGAGACAGGGUUUCACCGUGUUGGCCAGGCUGGCCUUGAACUCCUGACCUCAAGUGAUCCAGCCUCCCUGGCCUCCCAAAGUGUUGGGAUUACAGGUGUGAGCCACCAUGCCUGGCCAGCUCCCUUAUUAUAUAGCAUUUUAUUUGUGUUCAGAGUCCUACUCUUGCUUUUUUUUUUCUUUUCCUUUUUUUUUUCUUUCAAGACAAGCCUUAUCUGUCACCCAGGCAGGAGUGCAGUGGCACAAUAAUGGCUCACUGCAGCGUUGACAUCCCAGACUCAUGAGAUCCUACUGCCUAGUCUCUCUAGCAGUUGGGACUGCAGGUAUGCUACCAUGCAGGGCAAAUUUUUUUUAUUUUUAGUAGAGAUGGAGUCUCAUUAUGUUGUCCAGGCUGGUCUUGAACACCUGGUCUCAAGCAGUUGUCACACCUCAUCUUCCAAAGUGCUGGGAUUAUAGGUGUGAGCUACGGUGCCUGGCCUCCUCUUGUUGUUAGUUCUGAGGAUGCCCUACUCUGUAAUAGAGUAGUCUUUAAUAAACUUGCUUUUUUCACUGUGCUCUGUGACUGGCCCAGAAUUCUUUCCUGUCAGAGAUCCAAGAACUCACUCUGUGGUCUGGCUCCAGACCCCUUUCCUGUAACAGUUUGAGCAAUAAAAGUAGCCCGGGCUGGUACCAAGCACCAAAGUCAGAUUUCUCAACAGUCAGGACCACCUCCACUCAGAGUCCCUUCUGUUGGAUGCCAAUUUGUCAACCAAAAUAUGUCUGACACAAGUCUCAGUCAAUUUAGAAGUUUGUAAAGUUUAGAAGCCAAUGUAAGGCACACGCCAGAAGAAGGGAAUAUAGAAACCACAGAAACAGUCUGCGAUCUGUGCCUUUCUCCAAAGAUGAUUUUGUGGGCUUCAAUAUCUAAAGGGGAAAAGCAGGCUGGAAAGAGGGAAGGUCCAGUCACAUCACAGAAUCCACAUGUUGCAAGAGACAAGGAACAGGUAGGGGAAUAGUCAGUUAUGUAUUUGUCUCAUGCUCAGUAAAUCGGCACUUGAUAAGAUAAGGUGGACAACCAGCAGCUGGAGAUAUCUGGCCUUUUAUCUGUAGCAUCUGCUUAGGAACAAAAGAAAAGGCAGCUUCUUGCGUGACUCGGCUUUUGGCUUAUUCUUUUUUCCUUUUGGUAGGCUAAAUCGAGAUCCUGAGGUUUUAUUUUCCUUUCAUAAAUGAACAAAUGAAUGAAUGAAUGAAUGAAAAAAGAAAGUGCGGAAGGAAAAAUAGUUCAUGUCCCAAAGCAGUGGUGUAGUUCUAAAAGAUGGACACUAGAUGGCAGCAGGCACCUGCACCGAGGCAGCUGAGGGUGGUGAGGAAUGUCCGGUAUUUGGCCUUCAGAUGGAGGGAUGUCCAGGGCGCCUCAAGGGCCCCACAGGUUUUGUCAGUGCAUCUCCAUUAAAUAUCCCUUAUGGCCUAGCGCGGUGGCUUAUGCCUGUAAUCCCAGCACUUUGGGAGGCCGAGGCGGGCGGAUCACCUGAGGUCGGGAGUUCCAGACCAGCCUGACCAACAUGGAUAAACCCCAUCUCUACUAAAAAUACAAAAUUAGCUGGGCGUGGUGGCGCAUGCCUGUAAUCCCAGCUACUCCGGAGGCUGAGGCAGAAGAAUCGGGAAGCGGAGGCGGAGGUUGAGAGGUUACAAAAAAUAUUCUGCUUAUCAUCAACACCAUCACUGUCAUCAUCAUCCCAAGACAAAAUGGGUAAGAUUUUCUGCAUCUGUGUUCAUCAGGGUUGUUGGUGAAUAGUCUGUCUGUCUUUCUUUCUUUCUCUUUCUUUCUUUCUUUUCUUUCUUUCUUUCUUUCCUUUCUCUUUCUUUCUUUCCUUUCUUUCUCUUUCUUUCUUUCUUUCUUCUUUCUUUCCCUUCCUUCCUUCCUUCCUUCUUUCUUUUCUUUCUCUCCUUCUUUCUUUCCUUCUUUUUUUUUUUUUGAGACGGAGUUUUGCUCUUGUCACCCAGGCUGGAGUGCAAUGCUGUGAUCUCAGCUCACUACAACCUCCGCCUCCUGGGUUCAAGUGAUUCUCCAGCCUCAGCCUCCCGAGUAGCUGGGAUUACAGGCACCCACCACCACGCCCAGCUAAUUUUUAUAUUUUUAGUAGAGACAGGGUUUCGCUAUGUUGGCCAGGCUGCUCUUGAACUCCUGACCUUAGGUGAUCCACCCACCUCCGCCUCCCAAAGUGCUGGAUUACAGGCGUGAGCCACCGCGCCUGGCCAAUGGUUUUCUUUUCUUGGGAUAUCUCUGUCUGGCUUUGAUAUCGGUAUAAUGCUGGCAUCAUAAAAUGAGUUUGGAAAUGUUCUUUCUUCUUCAAUUUUUUCAAGGUUUGAGAAGGAUUGGUGUUAUUUCUUCUUUAAAUGUUUGGUAGAAUUCACCAGUGAAGCCCUCUAGUCCUGGGCCUUUCUUUCUUGGGAGGUUUCGGGUUAGUAACUCAAUCUUCAUGGUAGUGAUCAAAUCUUUUAUUUCUCCCUCUCUCCCUCUCUCCCUCUCUCCCUCUCCCCCUCUCCCCCUCUCCCCGUCUCCCUCUCCCUUUCCCCACGGUCUCCCUCUCCCUCUCUUUCCACGGUCUCCCUCUGAUGCCGAGCCGAAGCUGGACGGUACUGCUGCCAUCUCGGCUCACUGCAACCUCCCUGCCUGAUUCUCCUGCCUCAGCCUGCCGAGUGCCUGCGAUUGCAGGCGCGCGCCGCCACGCCUGACUGGUUUGCGUAUUUUUUUGGUGGAGACGGGGU